rnacentral:rRNA from 1 species
GAUGAACGCUAGCGGCAGGCCUAAUACAUGCAAGUCGAACGGUAAGGCCCUUUCGGGGGUACACGAGUGGCGGACGGGUGCGUAACGCGUAUGCAACAUGCCUUCCAGCGGGGGAGUAUACCAGGGAAACUUGGCGCAAUACCCCACUAGAAUUACGGGACCGCAUGGUCUUGUGAUUAAAACUACCGGUGCUGGGAGAUUGGCAUGCGUGACAUUAGCUAGUUGGCGGGGUAACGGCCCACCAAGGCGACGAUGUCUAGCUGGUCUGAGAGGAUGAUCAGCCACACUGGGACUGAGACACGGCCCAGACUCCUACGGGAGGCAGCAGUAGGGAAUAUUGGACAAUGGGGGGAACCCGUACGAUCCACGUCAUGCCG